UUGGGAAGAAGAAUUGAUCCUGGCUCAGGACGAACGCUGGCGGCGUGCCUAAUACAUGCAAGUCGAGCGGACUUUUAAAAGCUUGCUUUUAAAAGUUAGCGGCGGACGGGUGAGUAACACGUGGGCAACCUGCCUGUAAGACUGGGAUAACUCCGGGAAACCGGGGCUAAUACCGGAUAAUUCAUUCCCCCUCAUGAGGGAAUGCUGAAAGACGGUUUCGGCUGUCACUUACAGAUGGGCCCGCGGCGCAUUAGCUAGUUGGUGAGGUAACGGCUCACCAAGGCCACGAUGCGUAGCCGACCUGAGAGGGUGAUCGGCCACACUGGGACUGAGACACGGCCCAGACUCCCACGGGAGCCAGCAGUAGGGAAUCUUCCGCAAUGGACGAAAGUCUGACGGAGCAACGCCGCGUGAGCGAUGAAGGCCUUCGGGUCGUAAAGCUCUGUUGUUAGGGAAGAACAAGUAUCGGAGUAACUGCCGGUACCUUGACGGUACCAAACCA
rnacentral:rRNA from 2 species